rnacentral:rRNA from 1 species
CCCUUAGAGUUUGAUCCUGGCUCAGGAUGAACGCUAGCUACAGGCUUAACACAUGCAAGUCGAGGGGCAGCGGUAUCGAAAGCUUGCUUUCGGUAGCCGGCGACCGGCGCACGGGUGAGUAACGCGUAUCGAACCUGCCUCAUACUCGGGAAUAGCCUUGCGAAAGUAAGAUUAAUGCCCGGUGUUUUCAGAGUCCCGCAUGAGGCUUUGAACAAAGAUUUAUCGGUAUGAGAUGGCGAUGCGUCCCAUUAGCUUGUUGGCGGGGUAACGGCCCACCAAGGCAUCGAUGGGUAGGGGUUCUGAGAGGAAGGUCCCCCACAUUGGAACUGAGACACGGUCCAAACUCCUACGGGAGGCAGCAGUGAGGAAUAUUGGUCAAUGGGCGGAAGCCUGAACCAGCCAAGUAGCGUGCAGGAAGACGGCCCUCCGGGUUGUAAACUGCUUUUAGUUGGGAAUAAAACGGGGCUCGUGAGCCCCCUUGCAUGUACCAUCAGAAAAAGGACCGGCUAAUUCCGUGCCAGCAGCCGCGGUAAUACGGAAGGUUCGGGCGUUAUCCGGAUUUAUUGGGUUUAAAGGGAGCGCAGGCGGACCUUUAAGUCAGCUGUGAAAUACGGCGGCUCAACCGUCGAACUGCAGUUGAUACUGGAGGUCUUGAGUGCACACAGGGAUGCUGGAAUUCAUGGUGUAGCGGUGAAAUGCUCAGAUAUCAUGAAGAACUCCGAUCGCGAAGGCAGGCAUCCGGGGUGCAACUGACGUUGAGGCUAGAAAGUGCGGGUAUCAAACAGGAUUAGAUACCCUGGUAGUCCGCACAGUAAACGAUGAAUACUCGCGGUUUGCGAUACAGUGUAAGCCGCCAAGCGAAAGCGUUAAGUAUUCCACCUGGGGAGUACGCCGGCAACGGUGA